rnacentral:rRNA from 1 species
CAGUAGCCGCGGUAAAACAGAGGGUGCGAGCGUUAAUCGGAUUUACUGGGCGUAAAGCGUGCGUAGGCGGCUUUUUAAGUCGGAUGUGAAAUCCCUGAGCUUAACUUAGGAAUUGCAUUCGAUACUGGGAAGCUAGAGUAUGGGAGAGGAUUGUAGAAUUCCAGGUGUAGCGGUGAAAUGCGUAGAGAUCUGGAGGAAUACCGAUGGCGAAGGCAGCCAUCUGGCCUAAUACUGACGCUGAGGUACGAAAGCAUGGGGAGCAAACAGGAUUAGAUACCCGGGUAGUCCCUGUCUCUUAUAC